CCUACGGGAGGCUGCAGUGGGGAAUAUUGCACAAUGGGGGAAACCCUGAUGCAGCGACGCCGCGUGAGUGAAGAAGUAUUUCGGUAUGUAAAGCUCUAUCAGCAGGGAAGAAAAUGACGGUAUGUGACUAAGAAGCCACGGCUAAUUACGUGCCAGCAGCGGCGGCAAUACGUAGGGGGCAGGCGUUAUCCGGAUUUACUGGGUGUAAAGGGAGCGUAGUCGGCCAGACAAGUCCGAAGUGAAAGGACGGGGCUCAACCCUGGGACUGCUGUUGAAACUGGCUGGCUGGAGUGCAGGGGAGGUAAGCGGAAUUCGUAGUGUAGCGGUGAAAUGCGUAGAUAUUAGGAAGAACACCAGUGGCGAAGGCGGCUUACGGGACUGUAACUGACGUUGAAGCUCGAAGGCGUGGGGAGCGAACAGGAUUAGAUACCCCUGUAGUC
rnacentral:rRNA from 1 species